CCCAGGCAUGAGAUCAGAGUCACAACAUGUAGGUGCUGGGCCAAGUGAUAUGUCACAAUGCCCACUGUAGACAGGUUCCAGGAAGAAAAGGAGCAUCACAUCAUCUAGGUGAUAAACCCUGAGAUAUCUCACAAUGACCCCUUUGUGCAGAGAUCACAAAGAAGAAUCAUAUAACCUGUGUGCUGGAUCCAGUGGUAUGAAAGUCAACACCUGUAUUUUGGGUCUAAGUACAUGAGACACAAUGGUGGACAAUCUAUACUGAGAGCCUCAAUUCUUCCUGUAGACAGUGUCUCCUCAGUGGAGUAAAAGCCUCACGGUGUGUUGAAUCUUGGUCUGAGAGUCGCCAACCCACUGGUGGACCGGAUCCACUUACAAGAGUCAAUGUUCAAACUUUCAACUGUCUCCAGCUGUGAGAUUCAGAACCUCAACAGGGAUGCAGGUUAUGAAGAUGAGAGCGUGAGACAGCGAGCUGUAAGGGAAGCAGGUUACCCAGGGAUGGACAGAGGAUGGGCCCUGGCCCUCAUGUUAUGAAGCUUCUCCACGUGGUGCCUUCCUCUGUCAAAUGGGCAGAAGAAUAUCCUUUUGAUAGAAUUAAAAUAUACGAAAACCAUUUAUUCUCCUGUUACAAUGAUUUUUAUUUCCACAGCAACACUUAGUACCUGCCCCCCCCUCCAGCUUGCCCUGCCCACCAACCAGGAGCGGGGCCAGCCUGGAUCUCUUCUCUGCCGCUGGCGUAGGGGCGGGGGCGGGGGACAGUGUCUUCAGCAAAAGUCUGCGGAUAGAAAGGCCCCGCUCCUGUCCGGACAGCAGGAAUGGGAGAGCCGCCUCCAACCCCAGCCCCAUGGAGCAGGGCAGAAACGCUGCCCACUGCCCUGCUCCUGCCACCAGGAAGGGCGUGUGGGGGGCCACUUUCUGUAAAGAAGAAACCGCCUGAACAACAAGUGGCUCAAGGCACCCUUGUCUAACGACCAGGGACACUGAGCGCCAGGGCCCAAGUCACCAGCAAGAGAAAACCCAGGCGGAGCCCAGGGUGUCCCCCACUGCCCACCAGCCACUGCGGUCAACGUGAAGGGCAAGGGUGCAAGCGGGAUCGCGUCACAGGGAGCCGAGUGAGCCCAGAAAGUAGGAGAAGGACGUUUCCACCCAC
rnacentral:lncRNA from 1 species